AGUAGCCGCGGUAAUACGUAGGGUGCGAGCGUUAAUCGGAAUUACUGGGCGUAAAGCGUGCGCAGGCGGUUCGUUAAGACAGAUGUGAAAUCCCCGGGCUCAACCUGGGACCUGCAUUUGUGACUGUAUAGCUAGAGUACGGUAGAGGGGGAUGGAAUUCCGCGUGUAGCAGUGAAAUGCGUAGAUAUGCGGAGGAACACCGAUGGCGAAGGCAAACCCCUGGACCUGUACUGACGCUCAUGCACGAAAGCGUGGGGAGCAAGCAGGAUUAGAUACGCGAGUAGUCCCUGUCUCUUAUACA
rnacentral:rRNA from 1 species